GGUGAGAUGGCCGAGAGGAUGAAGGCGCUCCCCUGCUAAGGGAGUAUGCAGAAAAAUCUGCAUCGAGGGUUCGAAUCCCUCUCUCACCGCCA
rnacentral:tRNA from 1 species